rnacentral:lncRNA from 1 species
CUUGAAUCCCCCUUCAAAUUAUCAACCUCAGCUGGCCUAAAAUACCUCUUAUCGAUCACCACAUGAUCCUUCCAAUUCAACCCCACAUACCCAAACGCGACCUCCAAAAACUCCUCCACUGUAUGCGACUCCUCCGUCGCCACCACAUAAUCAUCCGGCUUCUCCUGCUGCAACAUCAUCCACAUUGCCUCCACGUAGUCUCCCGCAAAUCCCCAAUCCCUCGACGCUUGCAAAUUACCCAAAAACAAUUUACUCUGCAAUCCUAUCUUGAUCCUCCCAACCGCACGCGUAAUUUUUCUAGUAACAAAAUUUUCGCCGCGUCUAGGCGAUUCGUGGUUAA